rnacentral:rRNA from 1 species
UACAGAGGUCUCAAGCGUUGUUCGGAUUCAUUGGGCGUAAAGGGUGCGCAGGCUGUGGUGUAAGUCGAGUGUGAAAUCUCGGGGCUCAACCUCGAAAUUGCACUCGAUACUGCAUCACUAGAGGACUGUAGAGGAGAGUGGAAUUCACGGUGUAGCAGUGAAAUGCGUAGAUAUCGUGAGGAAGACCAGUUGCGAAAGCGACUCUCUGGGCAGUUCCUGACGCUCAUGCACGAAGGCCAGGGGAGCAAACGGG